GUUAUGUUGCGAGUAUAUUCAAUAUGAGGCCUUGGGUCGUUCACAAAUUGAGAACCAAGUUGCUUCCUCUUUCAAAGAGUGGAAAGGUGAAGUCCAGCUCUUUCCAAAGAUUUUCCAUCUUCUAACCCAAGAUUUCAACAUACACCGAGGUAAUGUUUUCACUUCUAUUAAUUUCUCCAUAGUUGGUGUGUUUGGUGUGAUAUUUUCUCAGGUUAGUUUGCUCUAUAAUUUCAUUCAUUCAUUGAGCCUUGGAGUUUUUUUUACCCAAGCGUUUACAGACAAUCAGGUGAUCAAAGAUUGUAUCCUUUUUCUAUUUCUUAACUAAAUUUGGAAUUAAGUUGUUAGCUUUUUAUCUUCUGUUGAUAAAAUUUAACUUCAUAUUUGCUUCUUUUUUUUUAUUUCGGUUUGUUGUUGUAGUUCGAUUUUUCAUGUGUUUUGGAGACCACAAAAAAUUGAAUGCAGUGUAGGAUCUUCCUGUCGCACUCCUCAAUCUUUGUCUUCAGCAGAUGUACCUAAAAUCUUAGUAUCUCCUUAUUGCCACUCCAUUGGUAGCAGGACUGGCUAUAGUUGUUGUUGCAUAUUCUUCAAGGUAUGGAGUUCAGGCAUGGAAAGCACUCAAGGUCAUACCUCCCCCUGCGAGAAUGCACAAGUUUUAUGGAGGAGGUUUUUAGCCUAAAAUGAACAGAAUGAAAGCAAAUCUGAUUCUUAGAGUCAGGUCUGCUCUCUCGUUCAUUGUAAUGCAUUGCUUCAAUUGCUAUAUGAGAUAUUGUUAAAGUAUUUCAGAAGUUAAAUCAUCUCCUCGAUUUUGAGGGUCUACCGGAAACAGUCUCCCUACCCUCACAAGGUAAUGUUAAGGUUUGCAUACACUACAUCCUCCAUAGGCACCACCUGUGGAGGGUAUAGUGUACACAGAUGUUUUAACUCCUAUACUAUUCUAUUAGUGUUUUGAAUUUUCCCAUGCCUACUUGAACCUGUUACAUUUGCACCACAUUUUCCGGAUUCUUGACUAUGGUUUAAUGCUAUCAUUUGUUUGUGUUUGUUGCUGUUUUUGUAUAAUACAAUGAUAUUUGAUAUAUAAGAACAGCACAAGUAGUCUUUCUCUUCCUUUUUCUUUUCUGGAUUUUAUUAUACCGACAUGAACAUCUUCAACAAGGAAAGCAGUGAAGCAUAUGGAGUGAGGGAAGCACAUAGGAAGGUGAUGCAAGAGGUAAUCACUACUUGCUUCUAAAAUAAACAAGGCGAAAGACACUUUGCUUGGACAGACGAAGGACAGGGGGGCGCGGUCAAGGCUACACGAAAUCUUUAUUGGUGCUUAGAUAUUCCAAAUCCCAGAGUUGUUGGGUAAAAAUUAGACACUAUAACAUUGAAGAUACAUUAUAAUUCUUCUAUAAGAAAUAUAUACAGUAAUUUCAAUUAUUUUUGUCAUAUAAUAAUUGAUUUGGUUUCCAUCAUAAUAGUAUUCUAGAAUUGACUUAACUUGCUUAGCUAUGCAUGCAAUCCAAUAUUUGUAAUCCCAAGCCUAACUUAAUGAUGCAGCAACAAUUAUAGUGUGUUGAUGGGAUGAAAGAUGAAAACUACCUUUAGGUUGUAGUUCCAUAAUAGGUAUAAUUACUACAUUAAAAAGAAUAAAAAAUGUUUGAUAUUUUGCUGAUUUUCUCAAAUUGGGCAAUUAGUCAAUGAUACUUGUACAAAAGUUAAUCAACUCAGCGAAACAGAUCAUCUUAUUGAAGUUCAAAAGGUGCUCUCCUAUGUGUUUGUCUUAGUGGUUCUACUCAUUGAUAGGUAUGUACAAAACAUGUAUUAAUCACAAUUUGUUUAUAGUUUACACAUUUGCAGCCUUAUAUAUAUUUUCUGCUCUUCUUCUGUCACACUUGUAUCUUAUGGUUAUAAUUGUAUAUUCGUUCUUUUCUCUCAGGCUAGCAAGAAAAUUACAGAUGCCAAUUUGCUUCAAGCUGUAUUGAAGGAUCUUCAAAAAGCUCAGAGGCUUGCAGCUAAGAGGGAGAAAUUACAUUCACCUUUCGUUUCCUAAGUAGUUCUUCCUUCUAGGUUUGGAUGAACUUGCUAAGACCUAAAUGUUAGUGUUCAAAGCAGUACGUGUUGUUCUUGUUUAUGCAACGCCAUAGCUUGAAAUUCUUUCUAUUUUAGCAUGUGUGAGGAUUUGCGAUUGUAACUUUUCACCUUUUUAUUUACAAAUUAAUGUAAGUAGAGUUACAUAUAUAGAAAUAAAUAAUUGAAACAUUACAAAUAGAGUUUAGUUGGUCUGUGAAACUUCAUGUUGAAGGGAAGAUCUUCUGGUGAAUUUUACAAGACAUUGGACAUGACUGACAGACUCACACACUUAGAAAGUUACUUUCUACUGAUCGAUUUAUAUGCCCAUUCGACUAUUCUUGACAAACUUUGUAAUCUUUAUGUGAUAAUUUGAAGGGGUAUCAAAUUACUUUUGUACUGA